CUCUGUAAACAUGAAUUCUCAGAGUUACCCUCCCAGCAUGGCAACAGCUGCUUAGCUUCUCCUUCUCCUGGGUCUUUCCUCGGAGAUAAUCCUUUGCUGUUGAGAUUGGGAAAAUGAUGAUGAGCCAGCUGUCACUUGUACCCAGCCAGGCCAGACGGUCCAGGUCAGCUUGGCUUGAACUCCCCCAGUGCACGCGGAGCAUGACAGCCCAAAGCCCCCUUCUGAGAUUCCUGAGAAUUUCCAGGUGGGGCCUGGCUUUCCCCUGGUCAUAUUGGUUCAGAGGAAGAUUUAUGGGAAGAUAAUGAGGCUGUCACUCCAGGGCCACUCACGGAUGGGAGGCCUUGGCAAAGCGCUCCUGUGGGUCAUAUUGUUUUUGUAAGCUGUGCCCAAGUUUGACAUCUUUAUAUUCUUUUUCUUUGAUGGAGAUCUCACCAAUGCAUGAGCUUUAGGUUCCGUGAAAUCUUGAUCUGCCUCUGCAUCUCACCCCAGGUCGAGGCUUCCCCGUUUGUUCCGAGAUCAGCAGGACUUCCAUGGACAACUGUGCUGCUGGGCCACCAUGGAGAAGCUUCUGGAAUGGAAGUCAGGAGUGAUCACAGAGGGUGGAGACUGUGUACCUGUGAGACAGUGAGCCUACGGCCUACCUGGAAGAAGUGUCUGGGGGCCACCGUCAUGACCCUUACUAACAGGAACAUAUGGCCACCAGAUGCUUCCCUGACAGUAGCACUUCCCUGACAACAGAGGACCCAGCUCAGCCACCCACCUGGAAGGGACCAGGUUCAAUUUCUAAGAGCCACGCAUUAACGAAGAUGACCUACAUUUUGCAGACACAAGUGCCCCUUCAGACACUUUUCGUUGGCUGACUACUUUCAGCUGUUCCAAGCAUUUCCAUGUUUCCGCUUCCUGUCAUCUGCAUAGCUCCUCAGUGAGAUUCUGUCUCCCGAGGAUAAUGCCAGCAGUCAAGUGGAUUGUGCACGAAGCAAGCCCAAGCCUUCCUGGAGCUGGGAGAGACGUGGUUCUUCCCUGUGUCAUGGACACCAAGGGUGAGAAGGGAUGGUGGAGACAGACUGCAGGUGGAGACAGAUGUGUGGCCAUCGCUAUUGCGAGUAUCUUCCAAGGAUUCCCAAACAGGGGUUUGGGGACAAUGCCAUGAAGAUAGAGGGUGACUUGGCUCUGGAAUCCUGACAACAUGACCAGCCUCUUCCCUGCUAAUGUCCACUCGUGGUAAGGCAACGUGACUCAGGUCCAGCUCAAAGAAGAAAUCCUUUACUCCUGAUUCCAUCCCCUGAUAAAAACAGCAACUCACAAGAAAGAUAAUGAGGAGCUUCUGACCUCAAAAUAUGACAAGGGUCACAGCCACGUUAGCCACAUGAAGCCAAGAGAGGAAAGAUGAAGGCCUGGAACUAAAUCUACCUUCUUGCAUCCUGUUUCCAGAAGGAAGAGUAUGAAGCCCCAAAAAAGCCUCCUGAGCCACUGGGAUUAUAGAUGUGCCGCCACCACCGCAUCCGGCUAGCGCAGGAUUUUGAACGACUAGUUUCCAGAGUGAAAAGGUUAACAGAAGAACAAGCCGAUCCAGGUUGCAAACCAAACUGAGGUGAGGGCAAGAUUAGGGUAUGAGCUCUGGAAAAAAAAAAUGCAGUCUGUCUACAGUCUGUCAGAGGGAGGGAAGGACGCUUCACCUGGAGAUCAGAGAGGGGAGAGCGGCAGGUCAAGGCAGGGAUGACAUCCUCGGCCCCACGGCUGCGUUUCUAUUUCAGCUCACCUGGACUUCUGUAUGAGACUCUUCUCUUUUAAGUCUUCCAGACAUUUAGUAGCAUGAGUGUGUGUGUCAAUCAGGGUUCAGUACAGGAAACAGAGCCGAAAAGGAUCUGAUACAGGGAAGUGGGCGUGCACACAAGACAUUAGAAGCAAUGGGGAAGUGGAGUCCAGGGGCCAGUGCUAGAUUGGAGGUUUCCAGAUCCUGUGGUUGAGUCAGGACACUGUUGCCAUGAAGCUGUAAUGACAGCAGCUGGAACUGGCUCCUGCAGUUGCUCAAACCUAUUGCAGCUUGACUGUCACCCUUUCUGUCCCAUGCCACCUCCUGGAUUCUUUCCUGUGCCUUCCAAAAACAAAGUACCACCAACUGGGUGACCUGAAACAAUAGGGGAUGAUUCCUUCACAGUUUGGGAGGCUAGACCUCUGAAGUCAAGGUCACCACAGGGCUGUCUCGAGACCCUCAGAGACUCUGGGUAGAAACCUUCCAUGCCUCUUGCUAGUAUGAUGGUGGCCACCAAUUCACGGCCUUCCUUGAUUUACAGCACAUUGCUCUGAACUCUGCCCCUGUCAUCACAUGGCACUGUCCCCAUGUGUCUUCCCUUGGCAUUUUCCUCUUCCUAUAAAGAGACCAGUCAUAUGAGAGGGAAGUCCACCCUAGGAUCUCAUUUUAACUUGACGAUGUCUGCAAAAACCCUAUUUCUAAACAAGGUCACAUCCCUGGGCAUUUGACUUUAGAACUUCAACACAUCCUUCUAGGGGACACAAUUUAACUCACGGAUCUUUUCUAAACUGUAUGGAAGCAGCUCACCCGCAGAGCCUCAGUCACCUCCAGAUCUGCAGCCAGGCAGACUGGGAAAUGCAGGGUCAUUUUUCCAUCUCUCCAAAUACAGUGAGGGCAAAUAAGCGAGGAGAGCCCAACCCAUGUGCCCAUCACCAGAGGCUACCGGGUAAGCACCGCCAUGUCUGGCUGAAUAGAUUAUGCAAUGGUGAUACACAGAAUGAGAGAUAGUGCCCCAGAGUGGUCAGCAGCUCUGGGGGGGGGGGAAGGGGGGGAGUCUGGUGGUUGAACUCUGAUCCUGGGCCAGCUGCAGGAUCUUGGAAUGGUCAGUUACUUCUCUUUAACCCUCAGCUUCCACACCUGUGAGUGGGAACAGUAUUAGCAGCCCCUUCUCAGGGUCAGGGUUUAUGUGAAGACUAAAGUGAGGCAGUGAACUCAAAGUCCCCAGGGUCAGGCACACAGUAAGCAGCCUGCGGAUGGGAACUUCUAUUAAGUUAUCAACCUUACGAAGUUUAUUAUGCGUCCUGUCAUGUAGGGAUUUGGAUGAAACACAGAGGCAGAGAUGACCUGUACAGAAAAGUCCUCUGGAAUGUGUAGGACUCUAUGUUAGGAUCAGAAACUCCAGGAAUGUAAGCCAAGGUAUAAAUUUCCUGCAGCUAAGAAUUGUCUCACUUGCAGCAUUGACCCAUCAGCGUGCCAAGAAGCUGAGGGAUUUGGUAGUGGUUGGUCAGAUUUGUUGACAUAAGAAAAAAGUAGCUGUCAGUGACUACUGGGGUUUUUCCUACACAGGUAAUUGUUAUGUGUUUGUUCUUGAAAAAGGGAACCAGAAGUCAUGUUGACCAGGUUUAGGGCUCAGACUCACACACUUUUUGUGUGUGUAGUUUUUAAAUGCAUAAAAUUAAUUGGAGAUAACUUUGUGAAGGUCAGCGAGACUUGCCUGGGGACAUAUUUUGAAUUUUAUUCUUAUUAAAUCUGUCUCUUUAAGUACUAUAAAGCAGGUAAGUCAGAAAUCAGAUAUUUAUUUCUCAGACUGGGCAUAGGGAAAAUUCAGUUGGCAAAAAUUUAGCAUAAUAUAUUUUAAUAAUAAAAAAACAAUCCAACAGUAAAAUAAGUAGAAUAUUUGAACAGACAUUUCAUUGAGGAAGAUAUACAAAUGGCCAAUCAUCUGAAAUAGUCACCCCCCCCAACUUGGAAGAGCCCAAGUCUCCAUCAAUUGGUGAAUUAUCCAAUAAAUUGCAAAUUACAGAGAAUAAUAGUGUACUAUACAUUUUUUAAAAAGCUAGAAAAAGUGAUUUAUUUUUAUUUUAAUAGGUUUAUUUUUUCCACAUUUUUUUAUUGGUGCAUUAUAGUUGUAUAUAAUGAUGGGAUUUGUUACAUAUCCCUGCAUGCACCCAAAAUAACAACAUAAUUUGUCCGAUAUCACUCCCCAGCACUUCUCCCCUUGAUAAAGAGAUUUUGAAUCUUUUCACUAAAAAGAAAUGAUAAAUGUCUGAAGAGUUAGAUAUUUACCCUGAUUUAAAUAUUAUAUAAUGUAUGCAUUAUUGAAACAUCACUUGGUAUCCCAUUGAUAUAUAGUUUUCAUGUUUUUAAUAAAUUUAAACAGAAAUUAUUUAUUUUACAACAUAAUUUAUUUUCAAUUUAAAAAUAAAUAUUCAAAUUUAACUUGUACAUAUGCACAUAAUGGAAUACCACUUGGCAAUAAAAAGGGAAAAAGAUAGCAAUCUAUGGAACACAGAUGAACCUACAAAACACGAUGCCCAAGUCAAAGAGAUCAAACACAAAAGAUGAUGUGUUACGUGAGUACAUUUAUGUGAUAUUCUAGAAACUCUAAUGGCAGAAAGCAGAUCAGAGGCGCCUGAGUCUGGUGGGGGAGGGAACAGCUCGACUGAGGCAGGGCGAUUUCUUAGGGUGAGGGAAUUGUUCUGGUCUGGACUGGGUUGUUGGGUAUGUUCCUGAACCUAUUCCUAGCAGCCGACUCUAUCCUGGGAAGAGCCCAGAUAUGGGGAGAUUAUUUUUCCAACUUGGGGGCCAGGAGUAAAAAUAAAGAGGGAAUUGAUUGAUUUCUAUUUCUCUCUUUGUCCACCGUGGGUUUCUGACAAGACUGUUUUCUUUGGAGAACAUUUACUAUGAAGAGAGCUUAAAUGAUUUAAAACUUGCAGGUGGGUGGGGAGGAACUAGAUCAGGCUGUCAAGCUGGCCCAAAGCCCUCUCCAAAGCCCCCUCCACCUACAUAUUCUUUGCUUUGAAUCUAAUUCCCUGUUCCUGGUGGCCACCAGGGCAGCUCGGUGGCCCUCCCUAGCUGCCCUCCCAUCUUUCUUUGUCCCUCUCUUUCUCCGAGCUGAAGUGCUGCAUCCAUGACAGGAUGAGCUGCAUGUGACUUGGGAUGCGGAGGUGAAGACCUGGGAACAGCUGGAGACAGGGGGGUCCCUGGACUUCCCUCGGCUGUUUGCAGAUGGACAGCCGCCAAGAGCAGCGCAUCCACGUCUGAAGGGACCUGACGUCAGUAAUGUCUGGGUUUCUUGCUCUUCCCUUCGAGCCUUCUGGCGACUCUAGCCUUUUACAGAAAGAGAGUCAGUGAUUCAUUCCAGAACCUUCUAGGUGCCAGAUACUGCACAGGGCGACAGAGACUGUAAGAUAAACAGGGAAAGUGUCCUCCAUCUUCCUGGCACUCACAGUCUGAUUGGAGGAGACAGACAAGUUGGCAGUGACUGCGGUGUAGAAACCUCAGAAGAAAGCUGUAGAGAAACCACUCUGGGAACACAGAGGGGGAAAAAAUGCUCUCUCGGCAUGCUAUUUUUUAAAAUAGAAAAUUACUUUCUCUCUACUUCCCAUUACAGAAUUUUAAAAAGUAUCCUGGUGGGAUAUUACUGGGCUGCCCAGGAUGUCCUCAUGCCUUAGAUCAGCACCUCCCUCCUUUCCCACCCCAGUUCCCACCUUCUGCUGUUUUCAGAAGUGACGCCGUCUCAGCCAGGCAUCUAAUACUGACGGUGAUUUCAGGGCAGGGCUGGGUGCACCUUUGCAGAUCAGGCCAGUGUACAUGGGCAGCUCAUCUGCAAUUCAGCCAAGAGGCAAAUCCAGAUGGGUCUGAGCCCAGGAGGAGCAGCUGGAGUGAGAGGAGUGGGAGGUGGGGAGGUAAGGUCAGGAGGAGUGCCAAGCUUCAUCCUGGGGGUUGAUUACAGAGCCCCUGUGAUUGCAGGAGGGAACAUGUCCUGGAGGGAACUGAGAUCCCCUGAUUGAACCUCUGCAAAGACAGUGUGCAUCUCACCUGUGCCAAGCACCAUGCCAAGAGCUUUCUCUGUGCCAUGCCUCUACACAGAUUUACUCUUCUUUUGUGGUUAAGAUUCCACAAAUCAACAAGAUCUAUAGAUUAGACUAAAAAGAAACACAUCUAAUGAACAUAUGGAAGUUUGCUCUGAUUCCUUAAAUAGUCAGAUGAAUCGAAUCAAGACUUGAGUCCCAACUUCAGUUUGCAUGAAAGAGGAGUACACUGUCGCUAUAAAGAAACAAUCUCACAAAAUGCAGGACAUUCUAUAAAGAAACUGAUCAUUGGUUCCAAAAACCAGUGUGACAAGGGACAAUCAGGUUAGAGAGUCAUCCUAGUCAGUUUUCAAUGAAGCAUCUAUUCCUCUGUCCUGUCCUGAUGAAGAGCCGGCUCUGAAAGACACAGUGGAGAUGGUGUAGGAGAUCUGAUGGAUUGAUGUCUUGUCUCCCUCGGCCACACGACAGAUUGCAGCUCCCUGACCUGCACCCACCCCAGGACUGUGAUCCAUAUUAGAGAUACCCAGAAGAAGCCAUCACAUUAAGUUCUCCAGCAUGACAAGAUUUCUGCACAACUUCAAACUAGCAUAUUUUUCUUAUCCAUUUUACGUAAUAUACCUGUCAGGACCUACCUACCUAAAAUCAAUUUAGAUUUGCUACACCUUCCGUUGGUACCCAUCAAUGAAACAUCAGUUUUUUUUAGCUGCUUGCACAAGUGUGUUCUUCCCAAGACUCACAAUAUGGUGGGACAGGAGGCACGAGGCUGGCCAGAGGACGAUGGAGGAGACCCCACCGCCACUACACCAGCUUCUCUCCACCGCACUGACGUCAUCCAACUCCAUCCUGGACCCAGGGGAGGUUGUGGGUGUGUCUGUUUCUAAUUAACAGUAGAAACUUUUGGUCGAAGGCCCAGAAUUUCCCAAUAAAGUGGCCAAUUUUAUCUCACUAA